rnacentral:rRNA from 1 species
CAGGCCUAACACAUGCAAGUCGAGCGAGAAAGGGGAACCCCCGGUGAAAAUUGCGCACGGGUGAGUAGGACGUAGGUAAUUUACCCCCAGGUGGUGGAUAACCUUCCGAAAGGAGGGCUAAUACAGCAUAAGACCACGUCUUCGCAAGGAGAUGAGGUCAAAGCCGGCCUCUUCACGAAAGCUGGCGCCAGGGGAUGAGCCUGCGGCCCAUCACGGUAGUUGGUAGGGUAAUGGCCUACCAAGCCUAACACGGGUAGCUGGUCUGAGAGGAUGAUCAGCCACACUGGAACUGACACACGGUCCAGACUCCUACGGGAGGCAGCAGUGGGGAAUCUUGCGCAAUGGGCGAAAGCCUGACGCAGCGACGCCGCGUGAGUGAUGAAUGCCUUCGGGUUGUAAAGCUCUGUGGGGAGGGACGAAUAAGUGCUGGCUAAUA